GACGAACGCUGGCGGCGCGCCUAACACAUGCAAGUCGAACGGAGCUGAGAGAAGCUUGCUUUUCUUAGCUUAGUGGCGAACGGGUGAGUAACGCGUGAGUAACCUGCCCUGGAGUGGGGGACAACAGUUGGAAACGACUGCUAAUACCGCAUAAGCCCACGAUCCGGCAUCGGAUUGAGGGAAAAGGAUUUAUUCGCUUCAGGAUGGACUCGCGUCCAAUUAGCUAGUUGGUGAGGUAACGGCCCACCAAGGCGACGAUUGGUAGCCGGACUGAGAGGUUGAACGGCCACAUUGGGACUGAGGCACGGCCCAGACUCCUACGGGAGGCAGCAGUGGGGGAUAUUGCACAAUGGGGGAAACCCUGAUGCAGCGACGCCGCGUGGAGGAAGAAGGUUUUCGGAUUGUAAACUCCUGUCGUUAGGGACGAUAAUGACGGUACCUAACAAGAAAGCACCGGCUAACUACGUG
rnacentral:rRNA from 1 species